GACGAACGCUGGCGGCGUGCUUAACACAUGCAAGUCGAACGGUGAAGCUCCAGCUUGCUGGAGUGGAUCAGUGGCGAACGGGUGAGUAACACGUGAGCAAUCUGCCCCUGACUCUGGGAUAAGCGCUGGAAACGGCGUCUAAUACUGGAUACGAGCUGCGAAGGCAUCUUCAGCAGCUGGAAAGAACUUCGGUCAGGGAUGAGCUCGCGGCCUAUCAGCUUGUUGGUGAGGUAACGGCUCACCAAGGCGUCGACGGGUAGCCGGCCUGAGAGGGUGACCGGCCACACUGGGACUGAGACACGGCCCAGACUCCUACGGGAGGCAGCAGUGGGGAAUAUUGCACAAUGGGCGAAAGCCUGAUGCAGCAACGCCGCGUGAGGGACGACGGCCUUCGGGUUGUAAACCUCUUUUAGCAGGGAAGAAGCGAAAGUGACGGUACCUGCAGAAAAAGCGCCGGCUAACUACGUG
rnacentral:rRNA from 1 species